rnacentral:rRNA from 1 species
CCUACGGGAUGCAGCCGUGGGGAAUAUUGCACAAUGGGGGAAACCCUGAUGCAGCGACGCCGCGUGAGCGAUGAAGUAUUUCGUUAUGUAAAGCUCUAUCAGCAGGGAAGAAGAUGACGGUACCUGACUAAGAAGCCCCGGCUAACUACGUGCCAGCAGCCGCGGUAAUACGUAGGGGGCAAGCGUUAUCCGGAUUUACUGGGUGUAAAGGGAGCGUAGACGGCGAUGCAAGCCAGAUGUGAAAGCCCGGGGCGCAACCCCGGGACUGCAUUUGGAACUGGGUGGCGGGAGUGUCGGAGAGGCAGGCGGAAUUCCUAGUGUAGCGGUGAAAUGCGUAGAUAUUAGGAGGAACACCAGUGGCGAAGGCGGCCUGCUGGACGAUGACUGACGUUGAGGCUCGAAAGCGUGGGGAGCAAACAGGAGUAGAUACCCGAGUAGUC